CAUGCAGUCGAACGGUGAACACGGAGCUUGCUCUGUGGGAUCAGUGGCGAACGGGUGAGUAACACGUGAGCAACCUGCCCCUGACUCUGGGAUAAGCGCUGGAAACGGCGUCUAAUACUGGAUAUGUGACGUGACCGCAUGGUCUGCGUUUGGAAAGAUUUUUCGGUUGGGGAUGGGCUCGCGGCCUAUCAGCUUGUUGGUGAGGUAAUGGCUCACCAAGGCGUCGACGGGUAGCCGGCCUGAGAGGGUGACCGGCCACACUGGGACUGAGACACGGCCCAGACUCCUACGGGAGGCAGCAGUGGGGAAUAUUGCACAAUGGGCGGAAGCCUGAUGCAGCAACGCCGCGUGAGGGAUGACGGCCUUCGGGUUGUAAACCUCUUUUAGCAGGGAAGAAGCGAAAGUGACGGUACCUGCAGAAAAAGCGCCGGCUAACUACGUGCCAGCAGCCGCGGUAAUACGUAGGGCGCAAGCGUUAUCCGGAAUUAUUGGGCGUAAAGAGCUCGUAGGCGGUUUGUCGCGUCUGCUGUGAAAUCCCGAGGCUCAACCUCGGGCCUGCAGUGGGUACGGGCAGACUAGAGUGCGGUAGGGGAGAUUGGAAUUCCUGGUGUAGCGGUGGAAUGCGCAGAUAUCAGGAGGAACACCGAUGGCGAAGGCAGAUCUCUGGGCCGUAACUGACGCUGAGGAGCGAAAGGGUGGGGGAGCAAACAGGCUUAGAAUACCCCGGGUA
rnacentral:rRNA from 1 species